rnacentral:rRNA from 1 species
CCUACGGGAGGCAGCAGUGGGGAAUAUUGCACAAUGGGGGAAACCCUGAUGCAGCGACGCCGCGUGAGCGAAGAAGUAUUUCUGUAUGUAAAGCUCUGUCAGCAGGGAAGAAAAUGACGGUACCUGACCACGAAGCCCCGGCUAACUCCGUUCCAGCAGCCGCGGUAAUGCGCAGGGGGCAAGCGUUAUCCGGAUUUACUGGGUGUAAAGGGAGCGUAGACGGCAGGGCAAGUCUGGAGUGAAAGGCGGGGGCUCAACCCCCGGACUGCUCUGGAAACUGCCAGGCUGGAGUGCAGGAGAGGUAAGUGUAAUUCCUGGUGUAGCGGUGAAAUGCGUAGAUAUUAGGAGGAACCCCAGUGGCGAAGGCGGCUUACUGGACUGUAACUGACGCUGAGGCUCGAACGCGUGGGGAGCAAACAGGAUUAGAUACCCUAGUAGUC